rnacentral:tRNA from 1 species
GCGGCUAUAGCUCAGUUGGUUAGAGCGCGUGACUGUGGAUCACGAGGCCGAGGGUUCGAGCCCCUCUAGCCGCC